rnacentral:rRNA from 1 species
ACGCUCGACACCUACGGGGGCAGCAGUCGGGAAUAUUGCGCAAUGGAGGGAACUCUGACGCAGUGACGCCGCGUAUAGGAAGAAGGUUUUCGGAUUGUAAACUAUUGUCGUUAGGGAAGAGAAAGGACAGUACCUAAGGAGGAAGCUCCGGCUAACUACGUGCUAGCAGCCGCGGUAAUCUGAGCGGGCUGGCAAGGC